GCACCAGUGGGGAAUAUUGGGCAAUGGACGCAAGUCUGACCCAGCGACGCCGCGUGCGGGAUGAAGGCCUUAGGGUUGUAAACCGCUUUCAGCAGGGAAGAAGCGAAAGUGACGGUACCUGCAAAAGAAGCACCGGCUAACUAUGUGCCAGCAGCCGCGGUAAUACAUAGGGUGCAAGCGUUGUCCGGAAUUAUUGGGCGUAAAGAGUUCGUAGGUGGUUCGUUACGUCGGAUGUGAAAAUCUGGGGCUCAACCCCAGACCUGCAUUCGAUACGGGCGAGCUAGAGUUUGGUAGGGGAGACUGGAAUUCCUGGUGUAGCGGUGGAAUGCGCAGAUAUCAGGAGGAACACCAAUGGCGAAGGCAGGUCUCUGGGCCAAUACUGACACUGAGGAACGAAAGCGUGGGGAGCGAACAGGAUUAGAUACCCCCGUAGUCCGGUC
rnacentral:rRNA from 1 species